CAGUCGCCGCGGUAAUACGAAGGGUGCAAGCGUUAAUCGGAAUUACUGGGCGUAAAGCGUGCGUAGGCGGUGAGUUAAGUCUGCUGUGAAAUCCCCGGGCUCAACCUGGGAAUGGCAGUGGAUACUGGCUCGCUAGAGUGUGUCAGAGGAUGGUGAAUUCCACGUGUAGCAGUGAAAUGCGUAGAGAUGUGGAGGAAUACCGAUAGCGAAGGCAGCCCCCUGGGCCAAUACUGACGCUCAUGCACGAAAGCGUGGGGAGCAAACAGGAUUAGAUACCCCUGUAGUCCCUGUCUCUUAUACC
rnacentral:rRNA from 1 species